UGAGACUCAACUGGGCCUGUAGCUACUGGU
rnacentral:piRNA from 1 species